GAUUGGUUCGUAUCGGAACCUUGAUGGGUUUCAGUCCACUCAUGUCAAGGUCCACCGUGAUCGUCAACUCUUCAUCCUCCUCCGACCACUGGUCGUUUGCGACGGUGGCGUUAUGGUGGUGAUCGGGGGAGGAGGUAGAAGAUGAAGAUGUAGAAGUGGAGAUGCGUUGAAACCAGCGAAUCAGGCCGUCCAUUUCAUCUGAGGUAAAGUGUUUCAAAAGAGAAUGUCGAAAAAGUUGAAACCUCUGUAGAGGUGAAGAAGAACAGUUUGACUCUGUGAAGUCCCCCCUGUUUUAAGCGUUUAGACUUGUUUGGUUUGGUUUUGGGUUUCUGUUGCUAUUAAUCUAUAUCGGUUUGGAAAUAAAGUAAUCAAUGAGUUUGUAGAUAUCUGUUGUGGGUUACUAAUUAUAAUUAUCGUGUAAUUAAUUUAUUAAUUAUUACUAUUACUAUCCGAUUAAGAUGCUAGAUGUAGUAGAUUAUUAAAGAGUAUAAACAGACAUCUGCCAAGCUGUUUCAGAAUUAUGUCACACUAGACAUGAUUUGGCUAUGUCGUGUCAGACUAUUAGAGCGUGAUUCAGAUUGGAAAAAUGUGAAGUAUAAUAUAUCAUAAGGUCUUGCAUCUCUUGCAGACAUUGCUAAUUUUAAUGCUCCAAAUUCUUCACUGCAUUGUUGGCUAUUGUGUAUUUGUGUAGGAUAGAAAAUUAGUGAGAAAGGUUUUGUUUCUGUGAUGAACAUCUUGAAUCAGAAGAGUAAUGUAACAUUUAUUUUCAAGAAAACAUCAAAAAUCAUUCGGCGUUUUAUACCUAAACUGUGAUCUUCCUGGUAGAGUACACAUCUCUAAUACCUUAUUGCAAAGUGAAAAGAAUGAACUAGAAUCUACUAAAGCAGACCUGACACUCAGUUUCUCAUUCUCGACUGUGUGAUUGCAGCUGCAGCAUAUCAGUUUCUGAGGGUUCGAGAUUUCCUCUGCCUCGCUUCGGUUUAGAGAACCUCAUGUUAGUUGCUUGGUUUGGGGGCUGCUGUUGCUUAGGCUUAGAGUGAUGCUGAAUAUCUGAGCUUGAUAGAACUGUCAGGGUGGUUUCUGUAUGUGGCUUUGGUUUAGGAGGUCUCCCAGGGCUUCGUCGCUUCAGUGGCUGCUCAGCGUGUGGAUUUUCAAGAGCACAAGGUACUUCACUAGUAGUACUUGCCUCCGUAUCAUAUAUAGCUCUAGACUUCCCUCGAUGCCUCUGAGGCUGCUUCUCAUUAAGAGGUUCAACAUCACACGGUAAUUCAGCAUU
rnacentral:lncRNA from 1 species